rnacentral:rRNA from 1 species
AUAACGACUCUCGACAACGGAUAUCUCGGCUCUCGCAUCGAUGAAGAACNUNAGCAAAAUGCGAUACUUGGUGUGAAUUGCAGAAUCCCGUGAACCAUCGAGUUUUUGAACGCAAGUUGCGCCUAAAGCCAUUAGGUUGAGGGCACGUCUGCCUGGGCGUCUCGC